UAGAAGAGGAAAAUUGAGCAAAACCAGUGUACCACUGAAGACUCCUUUUGUUUCUGCUGGGGUUUGGAGGCAUCUCCAGCAGGCACUUCCAAGAAAGAUUUCAGGCCAUUAAUCAGAAGCGCCUACGUGCAGGGGAAUCCAGUGGAGCAUAAAUCCUGCAGGCGGGCGUUCAAUUUCAGUGAGAGAGGUGACGGUCUACACCAGCCGCAGCACUGCUGAAUUUGGAGCCUGAAUCUAGUCCUGGCUUUGCUUACUACCUGAGUCAUCUCAGGCAAGUCCCUUCACUUUUCUGAGCCUCAAGUUUCCUCAUCUGUAAAAAGGAGGGGGCUGAGCUAGGUGACCGUUGAGGAUCUUUCCAAGCUUGAAAUUCAUGAUCCUGCCAUACUACUGAGUUGUUAUGGCAGCAUGAUGGAUUUCAACUGAUCCAUCCUCACACUUCCAUCAUGAAAGAGAACAAAUAAUUCUGGCCAUUCUAUCAUUAUGUUAUCCCUUCCUGAAAUGCAUAGGGCACCCCCUCUAGCCUCUCUCUUCCUCUUGUC
rnacentral:lncRNA from 1 species